UUUACAAAAUGUCAUCAGAAUUUCAAGUGGGCAUUAUUAAUAUCAAAGCAUGGAAAAAAUUACUCUUCACAGAAAUAAUUUCAAAAAUGACCAGCCGUAUACCAUUGUGUUGAUGUUUAAAAUUAUUAACUCUAAUUUUUGAGGAAGAUAAUUUAAAAAGAGAAACUAAAAGCUACAUGUAUGUCUUACUUUUUUUCUGGAAUUGAUCUCAAAUGACUAUGUACAAGUUACCCCUAUAUCUGUUGCAUAGGACAGAAUAAAAGGUCAUGUUUAAAAUCAUCCAGUUCUAUAACUCUGUAACUCAGAUUUACUUAAUUUGAGGUGCCCAUUGGCAGCAGAUUGAAUUGUAGCCAUGGACAGGAUCUGGAAGAAGGUGUCAUAAAGAUUUGUGUAAGACUAUAGAGUUAUCUACACACAUAAUUAUCCUCUAUCAUGUAUUUGUAACCAGUUUAUUUAACAGAUAGUUCUAGUGGAAAAGAUUUAGUCCUGGAUAUUGGUGUCUAGUUUUGAAAUGAAUAGGAAACCCCCCCCAAAAAUAGACUAGAUAUAAGUUCAACCCUUAUCGUUCUACAUCUGAGCCUCGUACAAUUUUACUCCACGGCCCAUUGGGGAUGCGGUGUGGGGAAGCCUCUGAUUUCUAGGCUAUUUAAUUUUGUUCAUAUGAAUAUUGUUCUAUUUGAUGAAGUCAUGAUUUCUGCCCAGAUCCAAGCUUCUGGAGAGCAGGAAGAAAAGUUGUCUCCUUCCCCCGAAGCUGCAUAUUUUACUUUUGCAGUGUCUGUGUCAUUCCAGCCCAAAGCCUCGUUACAAUUUACCCAGGUCAAUGAUCAAAGCCAGUUUUUGUACUCCCAACACAUCCCAACGAUAGGAGGUAGGAGGGACCACACAGAUGCUUCCAAAAUGUUGAACCACAAAAAGGAAUGGGGAGAAUUUCUAACAUGCUGAUAUCGAGUGAUCUGCAGAACAUUUUGGUUCAUAGGCUUAUGAUAUGUCUUUUAACUCAAGGAAAUAAGGAAGCAGUCUUUCCUGAGAUACCAUGUUUCCUUGUGGCCUUUCUGGAGACAUCCACAUGACCCAGAGACCCCGGUGUCUUUGUGAAGCUGUGGCCAUCUUGAAGGAAACCAGAAUGAUCUCAUGGGAAUGGAAUUAUAACCAUCAUCAGACAGGGGAAAAGCCUUCAAGUCAGUUGCUGCCCAAGCAGCAAGAGCCCUUUGGCUGCACUUGGAGAGAAUGAAAAAUGAGUGCCUGUGACUGGGGCUCCCUCCCUGGAGAGACACAGGCUGGUUGUGUGUGUGGCUCUGGGCUGGGUCAGAUGGUGCUCCCACCCAGGGCCCAUCUUCGCGGCAGCCCCUCCAGCGGAGCGAUCCCCACACCAUCUGCCCUCUCCCGCACCCCACAGGCUCUGCCCUCACUCAUGUGUUUCUGGGCAUUUGUAAUAGUCCAGCGGCAGCUCCAGCCAGGGUGAACUGCCCAUCUCCUCUGUUCGAGUUAUCUCCCCAGGAGCCAAUGAUUGUUGUUGGUAUUUGGGAGGGCUCUGUGACAAAGCUUUAUGGGUUUGGCGUGGUCUGCUCUACCCUCCUUUCCCCAUAAACUCUAAUUUUAGUGCCCGAGUUUUGAGAAUGUGAGGUGUGUUCUGGUAUGCAUAUGUCACAAUCGAGCAGAAAUGCUGGUGUCUCAAGUAGACAUGAAAUAAAGACUUGUUGAAUGAAUAAAAUCCAUUGCAAAUAUUUCUAGGGGUAUGGAGAGUGACUUCUCCACAGAAGAGUACGAAUCUAUUUUUGACUUUCUGUUUAUGUCAGGGAAGAUUUAAAGUUCUCACAUUGCAGCUAGUUAAAACAGACUUUUCCUGAUGGCAAUGAAUGUAUCACUGGAUAAUGUGGUGAGCAUACUACGCUGAGUAUCUUUUUUUGCAACUCCCUGAAUCCGUUCUUCUCCCUUCUCCCUCAUGUUCUGUGCCCUGAGAGGCUGGACUUGCUGGGCUCUAUCAGUUGUGACUCUCUUGCUAUCUGGUCUCCUGUUGGGUCCAGCCAAUGGGAUGCGAUGGAGGGAAUGAGGUGCUUACACCUUAGUACUUUGCAUUUGUGUGUGCCAUCUACUUCCUACUGUGAUCUGUUGGCUAAACA